rnacentral:tRNA from 1 species
AAAGACUUAGGAUAAAAAGACCAAGGACCUUCAAAGCCCUAAGCAGGAGUUAGACCUCCUAGUUUUUG